rnacentral:rRNA from 1 species
UUACCGAGUGAGGGCCCUCUGGGUCCAACCUCCCACCCGUGUUUAUUUUACCUUGUUGCUUCGGCGGGCCCGCCUUAACUGGCCGCCGGGGGGCUUACGCCCCCGGGCCCGCGCCCGCCGAAGACACCCUCGAACUCUGUCUGAAGAUUGUAGCCUGAGUGAAAAUAUAAAUUAUUUAAAACUUUCAACAACGGAUCUCUUGGUUCCGGCAUCGAUGAAGAACGCAGCGAAAUGCGAUACGUAAUGUGGAUUGCAAAUUCAGUGAAUCAUCGAGUCUUUGAACGCACAUUGCGCCCCCUGGUAUUCCGGGGGGCAUGCCUGUCCGAGCGUCAUUUCUGCCCUCAAGCACGGCUUGUGUGUUGGGCCCCGUCCUCCGAUCCCGGGGGACGGGCCCGAAAGGCAGCGGCGGCACCGCGUCCGGUCCUCGAGCGUAUGGGGCUUUGUCACCCGCUCUGUAGGCCCGGCCGGCGCUUGCCGAUCAACCCAAAUUUUUAUCCAGGUUGACCUCGGAUCAGGUAGGGAUACCCGCUGAACUUAAGCAUAUCAAUAAGCGGAGGAAAAGAAACCAACAGGGAUUGCCCCAGUAACGGCGAGUGAAGCGGCAAGAGCUCAAAUUUGAAAGCUGGCUCCUUCGGGGUCCGCAUUGUAAUUUGUAGAGGAUGCUUCGGGAGCGGUCCCCAUCUAAGUGCCCUGGAACGGGACGUCAUAGAGGGUGAGAAUCCCGUAUGGGAUGGGGUGUCCGCGCCCGUGUGAAGCUCCUUCGACGAGUCGAGUUGUUUGGGAAUGCAGCUCUAAAUGGGUGGUAAAUUUCAUCUAAAGCUAAAUAUUGGCCGGAGACCGAUAGCGCACAAGUAGAGUGAUCGAAAGAUGAAAAGCACUUUGAAAAGAGAGUUAAAAAGCACGUGAAAUUGUUGAAAGGGAAGCGCUUGCGACCAGACUCGCUCGCGGGGUUCAGCCGGCAUUCGUGCCGGUGUACUUCCCCGCGGGCGGGCCAGCGUCGGUUUGGGCGGUCGGUCAAAGGCCCUCGGA